rnacentral:rRNA from 1 species
AUUGAACGCUGGCGGCAGGCCUAACACAUGCAAGUCGAACGAGUGGCGGACGGGUGAGUAAUGUCUGGGAAACUGCCUGAUGGAGGGGGAUAACUACUGGAAACGGUAGCUAAUACCGCAUACCAUCAGAUGUGCCCAGAUGGGAUUAGCUUGUUGGUGGGGUAACGGCUCACCAAGGCGACGAUCCCUAGCUGGUCGGAGAGGAUGACCAGCCAAACUGGAACUGAGACACGGUCCAGACUCCGACGGUAGGCAGGAGUGGGGAAUAGUGCAUAAUGGGCGAAAGCCUGAUGCAGCCAUGCCGAGUGUGUGAAGAGGGCCUUCGGGUUUUAAAGUACUUUAAGCGGGGAGGCGUUACCCGAAGAAGAAGCACCGGCUAACUCCGGGCCAGCAGCCGCGGUAAUCC